AAAGAUAUAUAAGCCUGCAUUUCUGCUAAUAAAAUACCCUUGUUCCACUAGAGACUUGGGUCCCCGUGUCAUUCUUUCUUUCUCUCUCUCCCUCUGGCUAAUUCUCUGGAGCGUAGAAACCUGCCAAGCUCACUUUCCUGCCCAGGCUUUCAAGACCUCUUCGAGAGGACGCCCUGUGCCUCCGUGAGCAGUACAAGCCUUGUAUUAGGGCUUUAUUGGUUCUCUGUGUAACCCAAGGAAUACUAGCCUCUUUCUCUCUUUUGCUUUCUUUUUUUUUUUUAAUUUUUUUCAUUUAUUUUUAUUAGUUGGAGACGAAUUACUUUACAAUACUGUAGUGGUUUUUAUCAUCGACUCCGGACCACCAGGUUCCAGUCCAUUAAAGGACCGCAACAAGUGGCGCCCGAACGAGGACCUGGUACACGUGGCAUUUCGGACGGUGUGACUCAGGACCUAUUGAGGUCGGGACCUAUUGAGGUCGAAGCUUUCUCUGUUCUUUGAGGCAAUAGAAGCUCAAAUGCUAUGCCCUCCUUUAUUGCAUGAAUAAUUGAAAGAAGUUACCCUUGAAGCCUGGGAUCAAAUUACUCCUCAAGGAGAACAUACAGGGAGAUUUCUUGACAAGAGCAGAAAACCAUUUCAAGAAACUGAAAGACUCUUCUUUUUUGCUGUCCAUUUGGUACCAAGACGGGUUAACUAAUCAAUGGAAAUCUGGGAAACUAAUCCUACAGGGAAAGGUGUA